GCCGGGCACGGUGGCUCAUGCCUGUAAUCCAACCACUUUUGGAGGCCGAGAUGGGCGGAUUACCUGAGGCCAGGAGUUUGAGACCAGCCUGGCCAACAUGGUGAAAUCCCAUCUCUC
rnacentral:SRP_RNA from 1 species